rnacentral:rRNA from 1 species
ACUGCUCAGUAACACGUGGACAACCUGCCCUUAGGACGGGGAUAAACCCGGGAAACUGGGUAUAAUACCCGAUAGGUCUCGAUUGCUGGAAUGCAUCGAGAUUUAAAGCUCCGGCGCCUAAGGAUGGGUCUGCGGCCUAUCAGGUAGUAGUGGGUGUAGCGUACCUACUAGCCUACGACGGGUACGGGUUGUGAGAGCAAGAGCCCGGAGAUGGAUUCUGAGACACGAAUCCAGGCCCUACGGGGUGCAGCAGGCGCGAAAACUUUACAAUGCUGGCAACAACGAUAAGGGAACCUCGAGUGCCAGGUUACAAAUCUGGCUGUCGAGAUGCCUAAAAAGCAUUUCAUAGCAAGGGCCGGGCAAGACCGGUGCCAGCCGCCGCGGUAACACCGGCGGCUCGAGUGGUAACCGUUAUUAUUGGGUCUAAAGGGUCUGUAGCCGGCCGGAUAAGUCUCUUGAGAAAUCUGGCAGCUUAACUGUCAGGCUUUCAGGAGAUACUGUCUGGCUCGAGGCCGGGAGAGGUGAGAGGUACUUCAGGGGUAGGGGUGAAAUCUUGUAAUCCUUGAAGGACCACCAGUGGCGAAGGCGUCUCACCAGAACGGACCUGACGGCAAGGGACGAAAGCUAGGGGCACGAACCGGAUUAGAUACCCGGGUAGUCCUAGCCGUAAACGAUACUCGCUAGGUGUCGGCCACGGUGCGACCGUUGUCGGUGCCGUAGGGAAGCCGUGAAGCGAGCCACCUGGGAAGUACGGCCGCAAGGCUGAAACUUAAAGGAAUUGGCGGGGGAGCAC